rnacentral:tmRNA from 1 species
AAAACUUAUAGUUGCUAAUGACAACAAUAAGGCUCCGGUCGCUCUCGCCGCGUAAGCGGUGCGAGAACUGGGAAUUGAAGUCCUACGCUCCUAGCCGGGCAUAGGCGGGGUCCGCAGGCACCUGGCAACAGAAGCCUGCAUU